rnacentral:lncRNA from 1 species
UGCCCUGAAUUUUCCCCUUUUCAGUCUGAAUUUUCCCAUUUUUGGGUUUUUCAGGCUGGAUUUUCCCAUUUUUGCCCCGAAUUUCCCCCUUUUCUCUCCGACUUUCCCCAUUUUUGCCCCGACUUUCCCCAUUUUUGUGCCAAAUUCCCCAUUUUUGCGCCAAAUUUCCCCAUUUUUGCCCGAAUUUCCCCCUUUUCUCUCCGACUUUUCCCAUUUUUGGGUUUUUCAUGCCGAAUUUUCCCUAUUUUGGGCCGAAUUUUCCCAUUUUUGCCCCGAAUUUUCUCCUUUUCAGUCCGAAUUUUCCCAUUUUCAGGCCGAAUUUUCCCAUUUUUGGGUUUUUCAGGCCAAAUUUUCCCAUUUUCGGUCCGAAUUUUCCCAUUUUUGAGUUUUUCAGGCCAAAUUUUCCCAUUUUCAGGCCGAAUUUUCCCAUUUUUGGGUUUUUCAGGCCGAAUUUUCCCAUUUUCAGUCUGAAUUUUCCCAUUUUUGGGUUUUUCAGGCCAAAUUUUCCCAUUUUCAGUCCGGAUUUCCCCCUUUUCACCCCGACUUUCCCCCUUUUCUCCCCGUACCUCCCCCUUUCCGGCCGUUCCGGGCUGACCCCUCCCCAUUUUCGGGCGGUCACUCACCGUUCUCGGCCACGUGGCCCCAGCCGCUGACCCAGCAGCCGCGGCCGAAGGGCGGCCGCUGGCGGGGGAGGGGCAGGCAGACGGUGCCCACGAGGGGUCCCGGCCGGGCCGGCGGCCGCAGCCGGGCCAGCGCCAGGUCGUGACCCCCCCGGACCCCCCGGAAGCGCGGGUGGACGACGAGCUCGGCCAGCCACAGCUCCUGGCCCCGCUCCUGGUCGCUCGCGGGGUCGCUCUCGGGGUCACUCCGGGGGUUAUUUGGGUGGUCACUCAGGUGGUCACUCCCGUGGUCAUUCAGGUGGUCACUCCUGUGGUCAUCCCAGUGGUCAACCCUGUGGUCACUCCGGUGGUCACUC